rnacentral:lncRNA from 1 species
UCUUACAACCUAUCUUAAUUUUAGGACAAGGCUUUGAAAUUUAAGACAAAGCCUUAUCUGGUCCUAAUAAGAAUUGUAAGGGUCCUAAAGAAAAAGAAUCAGAAGUUCAGAGGAGGUUCUAAGAGAGUGAGAUUAGGUUCUUGAAGAAACUUGAUCGGUACGAGACUAGUCGAGUUCUAGGGGCUAGAACUCUUGAAGCAAGGUGAGAAGGAGCA